rnacentral:rRNA from 1 species
UACGAAGGGGACUAGCGUUGUUCGGAAUUACUGGGCGUAAAGCGCACGUAGGCGGAUUUGUAAGUCAGGGGUGAAAUCCCGGGGCUCAACCUCGGAACUGCCUUUGAUACUGCAAAUCUCGAGUCCGAUAGAGGUGGGUGGAAUUCCUAGUGUAGAGGUGAAAUUCGUAGAUAUUCGGAAGAACACCAGUGGCGAAGGCGGCUACCUGGACUGACACUGACGCUGAGGCGCGAAAGCGUGGGGAGCAAACAGG